rnacentral:rRNA from 1 species
UACGGAGGGUGCAAGCGUUAUCCGGAUUUACUGGGUUUAAAGGGUGCGUAGGUGGGCAGGUAAGUCAGUGGUGAAAUCUCCGGGCUUAACUCGGAAACUGCCAUUGAUACUAUCUUCUUGAAUACCGUGGAGGUCAGCGGAAUAUGUCAUGUAGCGGUGAAAUGCUUAGAUAUGACAUAGAACACCAAUUGCGAAGGCAGCUGGCUACACGAAUAUUGACACUGAUGCACGAAAGCGUGGGGAUCAAACAGGA